rnacentral:miRNA from 1 species
UGGGAUCAAUGACCAUCUGGG